UACGUAGGGACCAAGCGUUGUCCGGAAUUAUUGGGCGUAAAGAGCUCGUAGGCGGUUUGUCGCGUCUGCUGUGAAAACCUAAGGCUCAACCUUGGGCUUGCAGUGGGUACGGGCAGACUAGAGUGCGGUAGGGGUGACUGGAAUUCCUGGUGUAGCGGUGGAAUGCGCAGAUAUCAGGAGGAACACCGAUGGCGAAGGCAGGUCACUGGGCCGCAACUGACG
rnacentral:rRNA from 1 species